GGACAUUGUCUCCACUUGGCGUUUGACACACUGGCCCAUGGGUAGACGACGACAUGUCCCCACUAGAGGUAGAGGAGAGUGAAAUGAACAAGUCCACAGGAAAGGACUGUUAACAGCAUAGCAGUGCCGGAUUCCGGACCAUUAAACAUCCACGGAGCGACGGGAGCGCUGCAAGCCAGAGGGUCGCUGUGCAUCAAAAGUUUGAAAAAACAGGUAAGUUUCACUUUGUCUGCUAUAUUGGUUAAGCGGUAGUUAACACAGUGGGGGUGCCGCAAACGUUAGUUUUGUAUUCACUUUUGUUCUUUAAUGAACUUAUAUGGGCGUCCGUGCCAGAUGCAAAGAAGAAAACGGGUGCCCGUUCUGCCGCGCGUGUAGCCGUACUUGUGCGUCUGGUCUCCGUUUAUUCAGCCACAGCAGCUGUUGCUCGGGUUUCUUUUGAUCGCGAUCGAGGCCAAUCAGGAUAAAAUUUUGCGCUGUUGCACCGUCCUGCGCUCCGUGUCACGUUUAUUGAGCUGUGGCGCAGAAAACUAAUUCCCGCUCGAAUACUGGAUCGACGCUCGAUCGACUGGAUCCCCACCGAGCAAUAUCACUAUCUUAAGUGCACGGGGGUCACGGGUGUAAACGUGCUAUGUGCUCACACCGCACACAUCAAUCUAUAUGUUUAGAAAACAUGCAUUCCAGUUAUCAUUGGUGAUCGAAUAGUGCACUGAUAAAAUAUUCAUACCCACCAAUAUCUGUGAUGUUCAGGAGCAUCUCGAAGCACGACAAGGAUCUUAAGCUUAGUAAAAGCCAAGGUAAAUAAGCUUCUUAUUCAGCAUGAACUUUUGCACAGAAUUUCGAAUUAUACCGUUUUCACAAUAACAGUGCAGAACUCAAUCAUACCAAUAGGUAAAAAAAAACAUCGUAUUUUCAGCGCCAUACUCCUGUGAACAUCUGUACAAGCACUAGAAUUGAAUGCAGCAAAUGCUUCAUAAUGUUUACAUUUUGUACAAUGUGAAGAAUCAAUGCUGAAUGAAAAUAACAAAGAAAAUUUCAUGUGCCUGCAACUCCAGAACAAGUUUGAUAGUGGAAGAUUAAGUGCGGCACGAGAAUAAUAAUAACCACAGAAUUACAAAUUGUACCACUUUCACUGCAACAGGACAUAACUCAACCAUGCCAUAACGUCAAAAAAAGGAUUUUCGGCACCCUACUCCUGUCAGCACCUAUACAAGCGCUUCAGUCGAAUGCAGGAAAUGCUUUCACAAUGUCUGCAUUUGGUAAAAUGUUAGGAAUGACCACUGCAUGAGAAUAACAACAAACAAAACUGCACGUGACUCGAACUUCAGAACAAGUUUGAUAGUGCUUCUUCUACACCAACAGCUGUGUGCAGUAGUAACAGUGGCCAUAACUGUUCAUCCUGAACAAUGUGAAGUUUGGUUUGCCAGCACUGGUUGCAAUGAAAUUGACAAUUAUCAAACAGCUGUUACUCAUCGAGGUGGAUUUACUAGCAUCACACUCACUAGUUGCCAAACAGACCUUUUGACAUCACCGGCCCAAUUGCUGUGCACAGCUGGAACCCACAGACCUUUUAUUGCACGUAUGGUCUGAUAGAAAACAUAAAAUGGCGCUCCCAGGAUGCUAACUCAGGGAGUUUCCAUCUCAGGAGCAAGACCACACAACUACCUAGAUAUCGUACUAGGCUAAGGAGUUAGUCGGACAAAAGAUUUCCAGAAUAAACACUGUGACUCUUGUAGACCUGGGCUAACUUUUGGCUCAUCAUGGCAUGAUCAAUAGGCACCCAGCCGGCACACUGGUGAACCAAUGCAUGUUUAUUUGCUACUAGGAGUUACAUUGAUAUUCCUGAUAUGCCAUGAAGGGCCACUAGCUUUGAGUUUGGCACUACACGAGGAACUAGACAUACUGGAUGCUUGAGGAAACCAUGCAGUUUGUUCCAUGGGCCACACCGCUGCAUUAUUGACGAGAAAAAUUGAACGGUGCGCCUUUGUGGCAAGUACUGUCUCACGAUGAACCCUCCUUUUAGGUCAAAUUCUUAACCUCUCGACAAUGAAUGAGUUGAAUGCCACGGUGAAUGCUUCUUCAGAAAGACAAAUUCCAGCAGGCAUACCUGCAAUCACGAGUAGAUGAAAGCCCCCCUUAAGAUAUCGCUGUGACCACAGCAAUGUCACUCUACCGAGUCAAUUUUCAAUAUUACCACUUUCUAUAUUGCCGUAGCGCUUUUGUUAUUCCCGCAGUCCAUGAC